UCGAGUAUGGUGUAACGGCUAACAUUACCGCCUUUCAUGCAUCACUGCUAAAGCUACGCGGUAGCUCGGGGUUCGAUUCCCCGUACUCGAA